rnacentral:rRNA from 1 species
AUGUGGCAGCAUCCAAAAAAAGGAAAAAAAAUGCUUGAUCUUAAUGAGUUGCCUCCUGAUCUCAAUGAGCUUCCUGAUGAUAUGGAUCAGCAGCAACCCAGCAUACCACAAGGAAAUUGGACAGAAAAUGGGCGAUCAGUUUACUACACGCAGGCAAGUCGUGGUGGAAACCCUAUGGGCCAUGACAAUGUGGCAGGCCAGUCAUCAACCCGUGGUGCCCCUGUAGUGGUGUCUUUGCAGUCAGAGAGCCAUACUCUUGAUGACACGGGAACCGCGGCAAAUGUUCCUAGUCCAACCAGGACUGAGCUAGGAGCUGGGGCUGUUGACGGAGCUGUGCAAGGAGAAGGAGAGGAUGAGGCUGGUUCUCAACCUAUGGAACCCUAUGUUGGCAUGAGGUUUGACAGCCUUCAAAUUGCUAAGGAUCACUACAACAGCUACGCACUACGGAUGGGUUUCUCUGUCAAGAUGAACACCUCUAGGAGGACACCCCACACCAAUGUAUUGGUAAAACAGCAGUUUUGCUGCAACAAGUUCAAGAAGGCCAAAGCUGAUGAUGGAGGAGCUGAGGCUCCUCCUGUCCUGGACCCUAUUCUAGAUCCAAAAACUGUUGAUAGUGAUGAGAAAAUGGAAGAUGAACCUCCAAUCUUUGCUGAAGAGGAGGUUGGUCCUAGUAAGAAGAAGAAGAAACGGAAACGCGAGACAAUAAAGUAG